ACUAAGCGUACACGGUGGAUGCCCUGGCAGUCAGAGGCGAUGAAGGACGUGCUAAUCUGCGAAAAGCGCCGGCGAGGUGAUAUGAACCCUUGACCCGGCGAUGUCCGAAUGGGGAAACCCAGUGCAAUCCGUUGCACUAUCGUUAACUGAAUACAUAGGUUAACGAGGCGAACCGGGGGAACUGAAACAUCUAAGUACCCCGAGGAAAAGAAAUCAACCGAGAUUCCCCCAGUAGCGGCGAGCGAACGGGGAGCAGCCCGGAGUCUGAAUCAGCUUGUGUGUUAGUGGAACGGUCUGGAAAGUCCGACGGUACAGGGUGAUAGUCCCGUACACGAAAGCACACAUGCUGUGAACUCGAAGAGUAGGGCGGGACACGUGGUAUCCUGUCUGAAUAUGGGGGGACCAUCCUCCAAGGCUAAAUACUCCUGACUGACCGAUAGUGAACCAGUACCGUGAGGGAAAGGCGAAAAGAACCCCGGCGAGGGGAGUGAAAAAGAACCUGAAACCGUGUACGUACAAGCAGUGGGAGCCUCUUUAUGGGGUGACUGCGUACCUUUUGUAUAAUGGGUCAGCGACUUAUAUUCUGUAGCAAGGUUAACCGUAUAGGGGAGCCGAAGGGAAACCGAGUCUUAACUGGGCGUUAAGUUGCAGGGUAUAGACCCGAAACCCGGUGAUCUAGCCAUGGGCAGGUUGAAGGUUGGGUAACACUAACUGGAGGACCGAACCGACUAAUGUUGAAAAAUUAGCGGAUGACCUGUGGCUGGGGGUGAAAGGCCAAUCAAACCGGGAGAUAGCUGGUUCUCCCCGAAAGCUAUUUAGGUAGCGCCUCGUGAACUCAUCUUCGGGGGUAGAGCACUGUUUCGGCUAGGGGGCCAUCCCGGCUUACCAACCCGAUGCAAACUACGAAUACCGAAGAAUGUUAUCACGGGAGACACACGGCGGGUGCUAACGUCCGUCGUGAAGAGGGAAACAACCCAGACCGCCAGCUAAGGUCCCAAAGUCAUGGUUAAGUGGGAAACGAUGUGGGAAGGCACAGACAGCCAGGAUGUUGGCUUAGAAGCAGCCAUCAUUUAAAGAAAGCGUAAUAGCUCACUGGUCGAGUCGGCCUGCGCGGAAGAUGUAACGGGGCUAAACCAUGCACCGAAGCUGCGGCAGCGACACUAUGUGUUGUUGGGUAGGGGAGCGUUCUGUAAGCCGUUGAAGGUGUGCUGUGAGGCAUGCUGGAGGUAUCAGAAGUGCGAAUGCUGACAUAAGUAACGAUAAAGCGGGUGAAAAGCCCGCUCGCCGGAAGACCAAGGGUUCCUGUCCAACGUUAAUCGGGGCAGGGUGAGUCGACCCCUAAGGCGAGGCCGAAAGGCGUAGUCGAUGGGAAACAGGUUAAUAUUCCUGUACUUGGUGUUACUGCGAAGGGGGGACGGAGAAGGCUAUGUCAGCCGGGCGACGGUUGUCCCGGUUUAAGCAUGUAGGCGGAGGUUCCAGGUAAAUCCGGUACCUUUUAACGCUGAGGUGUGAUGACGAGGCACUACGGUGCUGAAGUGAUAAAUGCCCUGCUUCCAGGAAAAGCCUCUAAGCAUCAGGUAACACGAAAUCGUACCCCAAACCGACACAGGUGGUCAGGUAGAGAAUACCAAGGCGCUUGAGAGAACUCGGGUGAAGGAACUAGGCAAAAUGGUGCCGUAACUUCGGGAGAAGGCACGCUGAUGUGUAGGUGAAGCCCCUGCGGGCGGAGCUGAAAUCAGUCGAAGAUACCAGCUGGCUGCAACUGUUUAUUAAAAACACAGCACUGUGCAAACACGAAAGUGGACGUAUACGGUGUGACGCCUGCCCGGUGCCGGAAGGUUAAUUGAUGGGGUUAGCGGCAACGCGAAGCUCUUGAUCGAAGCCCCGGUAAACGGCGGCCGUAACUAUAACGGUCCUAAGGUAGCGAAAUUCCUUGUCGGGUAAGUUCCGACCUGCACGAAUGGCGUAAUGAUGGCCAGGCUGUCUCCACCCGAGACUCAGUGAAAUUGAACUCGCUGUGAAGAUGCAGUGUACCCGCGGCAAGACGGAAAGACCCCGUGAACCUUUACUAUAGCUUGACACUGAACACUGGUCCUUGAUGUGUAGGAUAGGUGGGAGGCUUUGAAGCGUGGACGCCAGUCUGCGUGGAGCCAACCUUGAAAUACCACCCUUUAAUGGCUGGUGUUCUAACGUGGACCCGUAAUCCGGGUUGCGGACAGUGUCUGGUGGGUAGUUUGACUGGGGCGGUCUCCUCCCAAAGAGUAACGGAGGAGCACGAAGGUUGGCUAAUCCUGGUCGGACAUCAGGAGGUUAGUGCAAUGGCAUAAGCCAGCUUGACUGCGAGCGUGACGGCGCGAGCAGGUGCGAAAGCAGGUCAUAGUGAUCCGGUGGUUCUGAAUGGAAGGGCCAUCGCUCAACGGAUAAAAGGUACUCCGGGGAUAACAGGCUGAUACCGCCCAAGAGUUCAUAUCGACGGCGGUGUUUGGCACCUCGAUGUCGGCUCAUCACAUCCUGGGGCUGAAGUAGGUCCCAAGGGUAUGGCUGUUCGCCAUUUAAAGUGGUACGCGAGCUGGGUUUAGAACGUCGUGAGACAGUUCGGUCCCUAUCUGCCGUGGGCGCUGGAGAAUUGAGGGGGGCUGCUCCUAGUACGAGAGGACCGGAGUGGACGCAUCACUGGUGUUCGGGUUGUCAUGCCAAUGGCACUGCCCGGUAGCUAAAUGCGGAAGAGAUAAGUGCUGAAAGCAUCUAAGCACGAAACUUGCCCCGAGAUGAGUUCUCCCUGAGACUUUAAGUCUCCUGAAGGAACGUUGAAGACGACGACGUUGAUAGGUCGGGUGUGUAAGCGCAGCGAUGCGUUGAGCUAACCGAUACUAAUGAACCGUGAGGCUUAACC
rnacentral:rRNA from 1 species